GCCACAAGUGUGCCAGCACUGGCUUCCUAAACGGGCGGCACACUUCCUGCCGAUGUGCCCCUGGGCGGCGUCUGACCCCACACACACGAGCACACGAGACGUGGCACACUUAAGCACCUGAUGGGGCAAUGAAUCAUACGUGAACAUUCAUAAACGUCAGUGAACGACUUAAAGAUGGUCCCGGCCUGCAUUUUAUUACAACUACGUCUGGAUAUGUGAUCUGUGCUGCAUUGGGAGCUUUUGCGAUGUAUUCUCGGGUGACUUUAUGGUAAGACAGGGUGUUUCCAGCCAAAGGUUUUACCGUGAACUCCUGGGCGCCAGAAGCAAAUGCAAACAAUCUUGUUGUUCAGUUUUAUCGUGUUGCGACAAACUAAGUGACGAUUUGUAUCUCGCAUGAAAUGAAAAGAAACUCUCAGUAGACAUACUGCUGUUCAAGUCGACAGUACUGUUGUUUUUGUCUAGUCAUGGCUACAAGAGGUUGUGUUAUUUCUCCAAACAGUUUUAGUUAUAUCUGUGAUGCAUAAACUAUUAAAAGUCAACAGAAAAACAUAAGUGAUUUUGUGAGAAAAGUUUGUUUUGUUUUCUUUAAAUUAAAACUUGGUGAUCAAUAUAAACCAUGGUGUGUAGAAGAUCUUCGUUUGUGGUUUAAGGGUAAGAAAAAUGCUUUUAGAUUUGGAAUUCCUGUGAUACUGCGUGAACAGAUUUAUCAUACCACUGAUUGUUACUUCUGUUCAGUUGACGUAAAGGGAUUCAAUUAAAAAAACAACAGAAGCAUAAGUGAGCCUAACUUUGACUCAGCUACGCUCCCAGUGCCCCGUAGCUCUGAAAUUCCUAUCGCACAGCCUCCUUCCAGUUGGGAUGAAUACCCGAGUGAGUUGGAGGACGAAGUUACGUUACUCCUUCAGGGUGAAUCAAGCUGAGGUUUUUCUUCAGACGAAGAUGAAAGGCCUCGACUAUUUUCUGAAAGUGAGCUCAGUGAUCUAGUAAGAGAUUUAGGUCUUUCAAAAUACGCAGCCGAACUGUUAGAAUCCAGAUUAAAACAUAAAAACCUUUUCUCAUCUGGCACCUCAUUUUCAUGGUACAGACACCGAGAAAAAGAAUUUACCCAGUUUUUCUCAAAAGAAGGAAAUUUAGUUUUUUGCAGUGAUGUGGAAGGACUUAUGCAUUGCUUUUGUAUGCAGUGUGACUCAUCUGAGUUGCGCCUAUUAAUUGAUUAAUCCAAAACCACUCUUAAAGUACUGUUAUUGGACGAUGGAAAUAAAUUUUCAUCGCUUCCGAUGGGACAUUCCGUGCAUAUGGACGAAAACUAUAACGAUUUGGCCAUUAUCCUGGAAAAAAUCAAUUAUCAGGACUAUCAAUGGAUGGUUUGUAGGGACUUCAAAAUACUCACCAUGCUUUUGGGUCAGCAGGCAGGCUAUACUAAAUACCCAUGCUUCUUAUGCUUGUGGGAUAGUAGAGCCAGAGAACAGCACUGGACUGAAAAUGAUUGGCAACCACCAGAAACUUUAAAACUUGGAGAGAAAAAUGUUAUCAAUACUACUUUGGUACCACCAGACAAGGUUUUGUUGGACCCUGUCUAUAUCAAAUUGGGGUUGAUGAAACAAUUUGUAAAAUCACUGCAAAAGGAUGGGGACUGUUUGAAAUAUCUAUGUACAAAAUUAUCGAAGCUGACAGAAGCAAAGUGGAAAGAGGGAGUUUUCACUGGCCCCAACAUAAGAAAAAUUUUAACCCUCUUUGUGGAAAGCAUGAAUGAGGAGGAGAAAGAAGUUUGGGUAUCGUUCAAGGAUGUAGUGCGAAAGUUUUUGGGAAAUACUAAGGGUCCUGACUACAAAACCAUUCGUCGACGGAUGCUAGCAGCAUAUUCAGCUAAAGGCUGCAAGAUGAGCUUGAAAGUCCAUUUUUGACAUUCCCACAUAGAUAUUUUUCCUGAAAACCUGGGAGCUUACAGUGAAGAACAGGGGGAGUGGUUUCACCAGGAUGUCCGUGAUAUCGAGAGACGGUACCAGGGAAGAUGGGAUGUCACUACGCUUGCUGACUACUGUUGUGUGCUUAAGCGGGAAACUAAAGACGGAAAUCGGAAAAGGACUCAGGGAAGUAUCAAGGAAAAGAAGAAAAGGUUUCAUAAAAAACAUGAAUAAGUAUAAUAUUGUUACUAUAUGUCUCAAAAUAAUGUUUCAUUGGUUGUAAAAAAACUAUUAUGUUUGAUAAUUUUGAAUA